GGGCGCCCUGAUAGCUCAGUUGGUAGACGCACGGGCCCUGGUUUGACUCCGCCCUACGGCCCUUUGCCGCAUGUCAUCCCCCCUCUCUCUCCCCUUUCACGUCUUCAAUUUUCCUGUCAA